UGUACAAUGACUCUCGGCAACGGAUAUCUCGGCUCUCGCAUCGAUGAAGAACGUAGCGAAAUGCGAUACUUGGUGUGAAUUGCAGAAUCCCGUGAACCAUCGAGUUUUUGAACGCAAGUUGCGCCCGAAGCCGUUAGGCNGAGGGCACGCCUGCCUGGGUGUCACA
rnacentral:rRNA from 1 species